rnacentral:rRNA from 1 species
AUUGAACGCUGGCGGCAGGCCUAACACAUGCAAGUCGAACGAGUGGCGGACGGGUGAGUAAUGUCUGGGAAACUGCCUGAUGGAGGGGUAUAACUACUGGAAACGGUAGCUAAUACCGCAUACCAUCGGAUGUGCCCAGAUGGGAUUAGCUACUAGGUGGGGUCAAGGCUCACCUAGGCGAGGAUCCCUAGCUUGUCUGAGAGGAUGACCAUCCACACUGGAACUGAGACACGGUCCAGACUCCUACGCGAGGCAGCAGUGGGGAAUAUUGCACAAUGGGCGCAAGCCUGAUGCAGCCAUGCCGCGUGUAUGAAGAAGGCCGUCGGGUUGUAAAGUACUUUCAGCGGGGAGGCGUUACCCGCAGAAGAAGCACCGGCUAACUCCGUGCCAGCAGCCGCGGUAAUUC